GGCUGUAGCUCAGUGGUAGAGCACUUGCCUAGCAUGCAUGAGGCACUGAGUUCAAUCAUCCGCACCA
rnacentral:tRNA from 1 species